AAAUUAAGCAUAUCAGUAAGCGGAGGAAAAGAAACUAACCAGGAUUCUCCUAGUAACGGCGAGUGAACGGAGAUUAGCCCAUCACCGAAGUCUAUCCGCUUUUGUGGAAAGGACAAUGUGGUGUUCAGGCGUGUACCUGGGAUCGUUUGCCUACUCGAAGUCCAGCUCUGAUUUUGGCAUGGACUGUUCCGGAGCGGGUGAAAGGCCCGUGCGGGUAGGCUAAGCGAUCCUCAGAUGUACAUGCCUUCGAGUCGGAUUGCUUGAGAAUGCAGUCCAAAGUGGGUGGUAAACUCCAUCCAAGGCUAAAUACUGGCACGAGUCCGAUAGUAGACAAGUACCUUGAGGGAAAGUUGAAAAGUACUCUGAAGAGAGAGUAAACAGCACGUGAAGCCGCUUGCAGGGAAGCUGGUGGAGUCAAGCUUCUUGUCCUUGAAAUUAUCCUCAGAGGACGUGUGUCUCGGGACGUGGCGUUGGUGAACCUGGAAAUGGUUUAGUGCAUUCGCGUGCGCUUCAAGUCAUUCUGGGUUGGAUGUUUGUGCUGGCGCCUAUCUCCCUCCUCUGUUGCUAUAUUUCUUGGACAUACAUCAUGGUCGAUGGAGGUGUACAGUGUGAGUGCUUAACUGUGCUCUCGCCUGCUUCGCGGCAGGCUGAGCAUGGAACGGCAGAAGGUGCAUGCAAAGCUUGUCUUUGCAUUGCGCAUAUUGUGGUUUUGACCUGCUAGUGCUCAUGCCUUGUAUCUAAUCUAUCGUUCUUCUGCGCUGCCUGAUCUUAGGAUCAAGCGGUACUGAGAGCCAUGAUGCUGAGGUAGACUUUCCACCCGACCCGUCUUGA
rnacentral:rRNA from 1 species